AUUGAACGCUGGCGGCAGGCCUAACACAUGCAAGUCGAACGGUAACAGGAAGAAGCUUGCUUCUUUGCUGACGAGUGGCGGACGGGUGAGUAAUGUCUGGGAAACUGCCUGAUGGAGGGGGAUAACUACUGGAAACGGUAGCUAAUACCGCAUAACGUCGCAAGACCAAAGAGGGGGACCUUCGGGCCUCUUGCCAUCGGAUGUGCCCAGAUGGGAUUAGCGAGUAGGUGGGGUAACGGCUCACCUAGGCGACGAUCCCUAGCUGGUCUGAGAGGAUGACCAGCCACACGGGAACUGAGACACGGUCCAGACUCCUACGGGAGGCAGCAGUGGGGAAUAUUGCACAAUGGGCGCAAGCCUGAUGCAGCCAUGCCGCGUGUAUGAAGAAGGCCUUCGGGUUGUAAAGUACUUUCAGCGGGGAGGAAGGGAGUAAAGUUAAUACCUUUGCUCAUUGACGUUACCCGCAGAAGAAGCACCGGCUAACUCCGUG
rnacentral:rRNA from 1 species